rnacentral:lncRNA from 1 species
GAUUGAGGAAAAUCAAGUUCAGCCAGGUUAGCAGCAUGUAGAGUGAUGAUGAAUAUAUUUUCCACUGCCUUUGACACUAUGCAAGAUUUUAAGACAAGUUACUUGACCUUUGCUUUAACCCGUUUAAUGUUUGUGAGCCAUGUGAUUAGCACUGCAAUGAGACUUCUCCUUGUGUCUUUUGGAUUUUCUACAAAACGUUUCCUGAUCUUAGGCAUCCUACAAGUGAAUAUCCCGCUCCCUUCGCUACUUUCUACUAUAACAUGGCUAAACUCGGGGUUGAAGGCUUCUUAGCGCUACUGAAGGAAUACCCUAAGCUAUGGUACGGAUUUUUUGCUGCAUCCAUUUUCAUCAACUUAAUAAGAGAUGCUCUGGGAAAGAAAUGUCUGUGGUUUAUUCCACUUCCAAUGACAAUGGCGAUACCAUUUUAUUUGGGUUCCUACUUUUCCAUUGAUAUGUGUGUUGGUAACCUCAUACUCCGUGUGUGGCACAAGAUAAACAUAGACAUGACAGAUGCCUUUGGGCCUGCAGUAGCUUCAAUUUUGAUUUGUGGAGAUGGCAUCUGGGCUCUGCCUAAAUUUAUACUAGAUCUAGUCGUGAUGAAACCUCCAAUCUGUCUGAAGUUCCUGUCGAG